rnacentral:rRNA from 1 species
UACGUAGGGGGCAAGCGUUGUUCGGAAUUACUGGGCGUAAAGGGCGCGUAGGCGGCUUGGCAAGUGGAUGGUGAAAUCCCUCGGCUUAACCGAGGAACUGCCAUCCAGACUGCUUUGCUUGAGGCCGGGAGAGGUGAGUGGAAUUCCCAGUGUAGCGGUGAAAUGCGUAGAUAUUGGGAGGAACACCAGUGGCGAAGGCGGCUCACUGGACCGGUUCUGACGCUGAUGCGCGAAAGCGUGGGGAGCAAACGGG